CUGGGAUUACAGAGGUGAGGGUCUCACUACAUUGUCCAGCCUAGUCUUGAACUCCUGGCCUCAAGAACCGUCUCACCUUGGACUCCUAAAACUGCUGGGAUUACAGAUGAAGAGGCUCUCCAUUCCACAUUCCCCACUGAUUUGAAGAGAUUCUCCAUGUUGGUCAGGCUGGUCUCGAACUCCUGACCUCAGGUGAUCCACCUGCCUCGGCCUCCCAAAGUGCUGGGAUUACAGACGUGAGCCACCGUGCCAGGCCCAUAUCCCCCUCCUGAUAAGACCCUCAGCUGCCAAUUUCUUGGAUUCUGUCUUUGAAUAAUGUAACUUGACUGUCCAACUUAAAAGCAAGAGAAGUUCAAGGAUGAGCAGGUAUGUGACCUAGUUCAACCAGCGCCAGCCAAGAAAUUGCCAGAUGCUUCAGAAGGAGGUGCUGGUCCUCACUCUUGGCCCUCUCGCUUAUUUCCUUCUGGCCAGCACUGAAUCUAUGGAGGCAAAAACCCUUGCAGAAGAAAGAGAAGCUGGAGGGAAACUGAUUGCCUCAAAGCCCAUUGCUUCCCAGAGCACAAGCCAGGGACCACCAGCCUCAGAGUCUCCAGGAGUUUGUUCAACUCAUUGAUUCCUGGAGCCCAUUCCAGACCUACUGAGUCAGAAUCUCUGGGAGUGGUAUCGUGGGAUCCAAAUUUUUAGCAAUAUUGAUUUUAACAAUAUGUAAUGCACCCUGAAGUUUGAGAACAUGUACUUUUUCUUACAGGUGAUUUUAUGUAGAGAAUUCAACUGACAAGAAGGUCCCUCGUGCCCUUAACCUUGUCCCCACCCCUUUGGGGCCCUCAGUGCUUUACUUACCAGUCCU